rnacentral:rRNA from 1 species
CGUCACCUACGGACGCAGCAGUGGGGAAUAUUGCGCAAUGGACGAAAGUCUGACGCAGCGACGCCGCGUGAGGGAUGAAGGUUUUCGGAUCGUAAACCUCUGUCAGGAGGGAAGAAAGCGCAUAGCGCCAAUCAGCCAUGCGUUGACGGUACCGUCAAAGGAAGCGCCGGCUAACUCCGUGCCAGCAGCCGCGGUAAUACGGAGGGCGCGAGCGUUAAUCGGAAUUACUGGGCGUAAAGCGCGCGUAGGCUGUUGUGUACGUUGGGGGUGAAAUCCCACG